GCCUGGCUGGCUCAGCUGGUAGAGCAUGAGACUUUUGAUCUCAAGGUUGUGAGUUUGAGUCCUAUGUUUUGUA
rnacentral:tRNA from 1 species